rnacentral:tRNA from 1 species
GGAGCAGUCUGGUAGCUCGUUGGGCUCAUAACCCAAAAGGUCGCAGGUUCAAAUCCACGCC